CUUCAUAGGUCCUUAUUAAAAGGUGUUCUAUACAUCCACUUCACUCGACGAAGUGGAGAAAGAACUCAUAACACUAACACCUGCGUGUGUGGAGAACUGUCAGCGCGGAAUGUUUACAAUAUUUACAACUCCCUAAAUUGUUGUAAAUUUUAAGAAUUUUUUCAUUUUUUUUUCAAUUGAAUCGUUCAAUUGGAGUUUGCCACUAUAAUUGUAUCUCUUGUGAGAAAUUUCCGUGGUACCAAGCUCAGCAAAAUUCUGUGGUUCAUUGAACGGAGUCUAUUAUGGUUUUACCUGGCAAGGUAUCCCUGUAAAUAAUUCGACCGACCGACUUCGGUUUCACCUUCUACGGUGCAAUUAGGUCAUUUGUACCCAUUGAUAUCCGGAUUUAUCAAUGGAUUUCUGCUGCGCUAACCAACUUACAAUACUCGCACCAUGGCUACGCGAGCUAGUUUCAAUACUGGUGUUGAUCUCACAGGGGAUGCAUACUGUAACCAGCUAUCAUCCGCUGCUGUGACGAUCCAACUAAUGUUCGAGAAAAAACCGUCGCCCAUUGUGAAGAGCUAGCUACUCGAUUUCUAAACGCUUGUUAAUACCAUUCGUGAAAUUAACUGGUUGGCUUUCCUUUCUUCUUUUAUCAUCGGUCUUAGACCACUUCCUACAGUUCUAUUUCAAAUUUGUAGAUAUUGCUCGGGUCUAUCGCAAUUUAUCGUUUUCAGGAUGUUACUGAUCUCUAAAUCUUUUGUCUGAUGUUAUAAAUCGACGCAUUGAUGUAAGUAUUCCAUCAAUGGUACACGAGCUGCUUCUAACUCAACCGU